rnacentral:lncRNA from 1 species
UUUACAUGACGUCACAAAAGUUUACAAAAGAUGACAACAGAGGUCAGAAUAGUAGCCCUAAGGAAAAUGGCGGAAGUGACUGAUCAAAUUUCGUCAUUCAUGUUUGGAACAAUAUUGUCCCACCAUUCGAAAUUCUUCGGUCGAACCCAUAUCCUCCUCCUCCUCUCUUGUAGAAUUAACUUUAACAUACAAAGUAAUAAAGAAUUUAUCAUUAAAUUUCUGUUAAUCAGAAGCCUCCUCCUAUAAUUAAUAUGUCUUAUAAUUCUCUGGGAUUGAGAUAUCUGUCUUUGAAUCAUGAAAACUUCAUUAAUGAGUACGAAAGCAAGAGUAAAUUUCUCUAUCUCAAGAGCCAUAUUGGUGAAUUUCCUCCCAAGAUCCUUUUCGCAGUAUCCCAGAAUCCUUUGCUCAAAACUCAGUUAUGCG